AAUAUGGCGGCGCCCAGGAACGGCUGAGGCGUGUAGCGGAGGAUGGCGCUGGUGGCGGGGGUUCGGCUGGGGCGCCGGCUGAGCGGGCCGGGGCCGUGGCGCGGACACUGGACGGCAGCCGGGCGCUCGCGGAGCCGGCGCGAGACGGCGGAGGCCGAGGCGGACGCGCCCGUGUUCCAGUACGUGGGCGAGCGCGCGACCCGCGCCGACCGCAUUUUCGUGUGGGGCUUCAGCUUCUCCGGGGCGCUGGGCGUGCCCACCUUCGUGCUGCCCGGCUCCGGGCCCCAGCCCCGCGCCGGCUCGCGGCCGCGCCGCAGGAUCCAGGCCGUGCCCUACCGCCUGAAGCUGGACCAAAAGAUUUCAUCUGCUGCCUGUGGUUAUGGAUUCACAUUGCUGUCCUCUAAAACCAAGGAUGUUACAAAAGUUUGGGGUAUGGGACUCAACAAAGAUUCUCAGCUUGGAUUUCACAGGAGCCGGAAAGAUAAAAUGAGGGGAUAUGAGUAUGUUUUGGAGCCCUCGCCCGUCCCACUGCCACUGGACAGACCUCAGGAGACGCAGGUGCUGCAAGUCUCCUGCGGCAGAGCCCACUCUCUGGUUCUGACAGACAGCGAAGGAGUCUUCAGCAUGGGGAACAAUUCUUACGGGCAGUGUGGAAGAAAAGUGGUCGAAAAUGAAGUUUACAGUGAAAGUCACAAAGUCCAUAGGAUGCAGGACUUCGAUGGACAGGUGGUCCAGGUCGCCUGCGGUCAGGACCAUAGUCUGUUCCUGACGGAUAAAGGAGAAGUGUAUUCUUGUGGAUGGGGCGCGGAUGGGCAAACAGGUCUGGGUCACUACAAUAUCACCAGCGCACCCACCAAGCUGGCUGGAGACCUUGCCGGAGUGAACGUUGUCCAGGUGGCCACCUACGGGGACUGCUGCCUGGCUGUGUCGGUCGAUGGCAGCCUCUUCGGGUGGGGGAACUCUGAGUACCUGCAGCUGGCCUCUGUCACGGACUCCACACAGGUGAACGUCCCCCGGUGCCUGCCCUUCUCAGGAGUCGGGCGGGUGAAGCAGGCUGCGAGUGGGGGCACAGGCUGUGCUGUACUAAACGGAGAAGGACAUGUUUUCGUCUGGGGCUAUGGAAUUCUUGGGAAAGGACCAAACCUCAUGGAAACUGCCCUUCCAGAAAUGAUUCCACCCACUCUCUUUGGCUUGACGGAGUUCAAUCCAGGAGUCCAGGUUUCCCGCAUUUGCUGUGGACUCAGCCACUUCGCCGCCCUCACCAACAGAGGAGAGCUGUUUGUGUGGGGCAAGAACAUCCGAGGGUGCCUGGGAAUCGGUCGCCUGGAAGACCAGUACUUCCCGUGGAGGGUAAGGCUGGGCCGGGCGGGCGUGAGGGCGGCGUGCCUGCAGAGCACACUCACCUGAUGCAGCAGCCCGGCCGGCACAGGGUCCCCGGGCUUCCAGUCCCUGUGGUGCCUGUAAGAAGCCUCCUUGGAGGCUGGCCUCGGGCACACGGGUGCCUCAGGGAGGAGCGAGCUGCAGGCCGGGUGCCUCGGGGCUCCGAGAGGGAGAGGGUUGAGAUGAAGAAGUUGACGUGCCAGGAGCUGUUUACAGAGGCCAGUGGAGAGGACUAUUUUACAGCGGAUUUAAAAGAAAGCGGGAUGUUUAAUGUUCAGAGUGCCUUACCACAGCCAUCAGAGUGAAACAUGAAGGCUCUUCUGAGGGGAGGAUGCAGUUACACAAAAAGGCUCAUUUCAGAAUUAAAGGGGAAGAGGGUUCCUUCUUAAGUUGUAGUCUAUCUUAGUGUCGUUUACUAAGUCAGUUCUUUAAGUUCUUCAGGAAAAAAAGAGGCUAUUUAUUUUUUUGAAUACAGAACAUAUGGACGUGGUACAAAAUGUAUUAUGAAAGAUAAGUCUCCCGUCUCUUGUCCCAGAGGCAGCCACUGGUUCUGGUUUCAUUGUUCCCUUCCAGAGAUAGGCUCUGUGUAGAGGAGCAGGCGCUUGUGUGCGUGAACGCCUGUGUGUGUGCACUUGCGUGUGUUCGCGUGUGUGUACGUGCCUAAGUGUUUUCUUUGAAGGUUAGGUUUUAACGUGUUUUGAGGUUGUGUAAAGCAUUUUUUAAAAAACACAUGUAAAAGUGCAAAAGAAAUAUGUAAUAAAAAAAAUAAUAAGGGGGACUUCCCUGGUGGCGCAGUGGUUAAGAAUCUGCCUGCCAAAGCAUGGGACACGGGUUCGUGCCCUGGUCGGGAAGAUCCCACAUGCCGCAGAGCAACUAAGCCCGUGUGCCACAACUACUGAGCCUGCACUCUAGAACACAUGAACCACAACUACUGACCCUGCGUGCCACAACUACUGAAGCCCACGCACCUAGAGCCCGUGCUCCGCAAUGAGGGAAGCCACCACAAUGAGAAGCCUGCGCACUGCAACGAAGAGUAGCCCCUGCUCGCUGCAACUAGAGAAGGCCCAUGUGCAGCAACGAAGACCCAACGCAGCCAUAAAGGAAGGAAGGAGGAGAAAGAGAGAGGGGGAGGGAGGAAGAGAGACAGAGAAAGAAGGAAAGAAAGAAGAAGAACAGAAAGAAAGAAAGAAGGAAAGAAAGGAAGGAAGGAAGGAGAGCGAAGAUCAGCUGUGAAAUCAGGUUUGAGAGCGUUUUCGUUGUCCCAGUGGCCGGGCCAGGCUUGGCCUCUGUGGUGGAGUGCCAGGCCUGGGGGUGGAUGCCCCGUUGUUCAAGCCGGACCCCUGCGCCGAACGUCCCUCUGAAGUGUUGUUCCCGGCCUCCAUGCCAUCAGGGAAAGGUCACUCAGGUCUGUUCCUGUGACGGCUGCUUUCAUGCCCCACACCAUUGUCUCCCCUUGUGUGUCUGUAGAGCUCCUUCGCCCCCCGUGUCACCUUUUGGUCGGGGUUGGGAGCGUGGUGCUGAGGUCCAUGCCGGCUCCAAGAUGCGAGGCUGGGGCUCUGGGAGGGUGGUGGUGACAGGAACCAGGUUUUCAAUCAACUAGGUUGGAUUCCUUAAAGGUUAGUCUAUUGUUGGGUAGUUGGACCUUUCUCCAGUCUGUUCUGUUGUUGCUUAAAAAAAAAAUUGCAGGUGAUUUUUAUUCUUUAAACACUAUUUUCUUAUUAAUCUUAAGUAGGGGAUAUGUUACAUCAUUUAAAAAGUAUUCCAAGAAAGAAAAAAAAAAAGAGUAAAGCCAUAUUUGUAGGUCCUACAGUGCUAUUAACUAGUUAUUCUUAGACUUCCUUACAGAGCCUGGGCUUUUCUGAUGAUUCGUAGGCCUAGGAAGUGACAUCUGAGUCACCUGAUUGAAACCUCUCCUUCCGGAAGCUGUCCAGGAGGUUUUCCUCCUCCACAUUGAUGCUCAGAGCUCAGAGAGGUUCAGUGAUUUCUCUAAGGUCACACACCUAGUAAGAAGCGGAGGACUUCCCUGGUGGCUCAGUGGUUAAGAAUCUGCCUGCCCAUGCAGGGGACAUGGGUUCGAGCCCUGGUUCAGGAAGAUCCCACAUGCUGCGGAGCAACUAAGCCCGUGGGCCACAACUACUGAGCCUGUGCUCUAGAGCCCACGAGCCACAACUACUGAGCUCAUGUGCCACAACUACUGAAACCCGUGCGCCUAGAGCCCGUGCUCCACAACAAGAGAAGCCACCACAAUGAGAAGCCUGCGCACUGCAAGGAAGAGUAGGCCCCGCUCGCCACGACUAGAGAAAGCCCGUGUGCAGCAACAAAGACCCAACACAGCCAAAAAUAAAUAAAUAAAGAUAUAUAUUUUAAAAAAAGUGGAGCCAAGAAUCAGACUGAGAAUUUCUGACUUUAAGACGUCACCAUGGUCCCCCUCCUCUUUGAGGGCCGGAGCUGGGUUCCCCUGGAGUCCCCGCGGUGGAGGGAGGGCGAGGUGGAGGUGGGGACCCUCUGCCCGAUGGCAGCCCUGCGGGCCUGGGAACAGGACACUGGGGAGAGCUUUCGAGCGGUGCCACCCCCACCCCCACCCAGGCCCUAACUUUCCAUCGCACAUGACCGCCAUUCUCAGGGCCCGGAGCUGUCCCGGGGGCCGGUGCUUUGCACCAUCUCUCUAAUCCUCAGAACAGCCUGUGAAGGUUGGGCUGCCCCCCAGCCUGCCCCCGUGCACACUGACCUCAGGAUCGAAGCCGCUGGCCCAGUCUCUCAGCCGCGCAGUGGGUGGGCUGCGACUGUGACCUCGGUGCUCUGAGCGCAGACUACGCUUCCCCCUCGCCGUGCGCCUCUCUGGUGGGGCUUGGGUUGGAGCACAAGCUGGGAACCCUCUGCUUCCUGGGCCUCUUUCUUACCUGGCUGCUUCAGGAGCCACAGGCCCCGGCAGUUCUGACGCCCCAGGGGAGGGCACGCCGCAGGGGCUGGGCCUCCUCGCAGGCUGAGCCGGCUCCCCUCCCGGGUGUGGCCUGGCUUCUGGGCGCGGGUCAGGGCAUCCCGGGUACAGCCGAGUGGGGACACGGCAAGUCUGGUGGCCGGAUCACAGCUGGUCCAGCGCUCCUCUCUGCCUUCCUCUGCCCUUCACCUGGUGGGUGUGUGUCUUGGGAACUUGUCCUCGUGCAGAGAGCUGUUCCUACACUGAUUCUGCUCAAACUUUUCAGAGUCACUCAGGCCAAAUAUGGUUCGUUUUCUGGAACUGUUUGCCUUUGCAACAAUUUGAGUAUAAAUUGGUUUAGAAUAGAAACUCCUUUUAACCCUGAUGAGGCCACAAAUAAAACGUGGCUGAGGGCAGCCUUCUCUUGGACUCAGUUCAGAGGCUGACAGUGAGAGGCAGUUGGCCGGGGGGAGCUGGGGCCCCGGGAGCCACCUGCUGCUCCCCAGAGAGGCUCCUGGGGCCAGCGGCAGCCGUGACCAUCGUCCCGGCGAGUCAGCCAAGGUGAGGUGGCUCCCUCUGCUUUGGGUUCUGACGGUCACAGCCCUUGGGGAACAAGGACAGAGGUGCCCCAGUGUGACAGCUCGGCCGCAGGUCAGCGCGGAGAGCGGCCCUUUCCUGGGGAAGGUCAAUAAAGGUGCUCUCGUGGCCCGGGGAGGUUGCUAGGAGCUCACCUGGCCUGGUCACCCCAGGCAGCAUGUUUUCUUCUGCUUCUGUGGCCAGCCUGGAACGCUUUCUGCAGCUCUGGGCCUUUGCGAUGAGCUGAGGGCACCGCCGCAUGUUUGUUCAGUGAUUUCUGUAACAGGUUUUGCUGAAGGCGUUUGUUUAGGGACGGGUGAGUAGCACGACUUGGUUGCUAGCAUCCGUUUGCCUUGUGGCCGGGAGACCCUAAUGGACUUGUCUCUGAACGGUUGAUGUUGCUGCCUCUGGGCUUUUAGGGCAGGCCAUCUGGACGAGGCCUUUCUCUCUGAAGCUCAGUAAACUCCGCAGGCUGUUACAGAUCCCUCUGCAGCUGUCACGCUGCCCCGCUGAGCGCUGCCCCGGGGGAGGGACGGCAGGAUUCGGAUCCGGUCAGAAGAGCAGCAUCAGCAUCGGCGUCCUGGCAGGGCUGAGGGGGAGGUGGUGCAGGUGCUCUGUCUUAGAAAUUGCCCCCGAAGAAGACACUACACUUGCACUGGCUUUCUGCGUCUAGAAGCUCUGGAAAGACAAAAAACCAGUUAAAAGUAGUUUCCAGCUCAGAGGGAAGGUGGGGAGCAGGGCACGUGAUGACAGGGUGGUGUCCAAGGGUAUUUAAUACCUUUUCUUCUUUUCUACUGAAUGUCAUUUUAUAUCGUAGCCACAUGGCUAUCACCUAUUCAAAGUAAUAAUAAUAAUAUUUAUAAUAAUAAUACAACAAGAGGAGAAAGCAAAGUGCCCCUCUCCUGGAGAACUGGGUGGCUGUGUGCACCUGAAGAUCCCACCUGUGUUGUGGGCACCAUGGAGUUUGGAGGGAGGGGGUCCAUCUCCACGGCCCAGCUGUGGGGCAGUGAGUCCCCGUCAAGGCCAGCAGGCUGGAGCCUCCACACGCACGAGGCUGCCUGCACUUCACCUGGAGGGUUGGGCCUGCCUGUGAUGAAGUGAUGUCAGUGUGGGUGACAGUGUCGGCAGGGCUGCCAGCCAGGCCUCUGGCACCUUCUGAGAUGAAGUAAAUACCCCUCCUCCGGGGUGCGCAGGACCUGGGAGCAGCCUGCCUGGGUCUGGAGCUGACGUGUAGAGCUGGUGAAGGCACUGGGCUGGGAGGCUUCCUUCCCACAGUGGACCCUGAGGGCAGGGCAGGGCAGGGCAGGAGGGUUUCUGGAGCUGCUCCAGGGAGCUGUCUGGUGACCCCUGGGAAGGGUCUCUGAACAGCUGGCUUGAGCGCAGGUUUGGCCUCUGGGGAGUCACACUCACGGGGAACGGCCUCUGUGGGGUGUGCACGUCCCAGGACGGUGCAGGCCAGGACCGUGCGCGUGUCCAGAGCGGCCUCUAGGGGGUUGCUGCCCGGGUCUGGGUGGGGAGUCAGGACGGCCCUUCCCACGGUGGGUGCAUCUACCCUUCCCAGCAGACCUGCCGGGUGGGUGUAAGCACCCCAUUUCCAGGUGAGGGAGCCGAGGCUCAGAGCAGUUAGGUCACCUACCCAGAGCAGAGCCAGGGUCAGGCCCUUGAUCGGCCACCGCCAGGCCAUCUCUCCUCACGGUGUGCUGGUUCUUGAUUGUUCAGGUGACGAUGCCUGG